ensembl:lncRNA
CAUUAUAACUCUUUCUGUGUGUGUGUGUGUGUGUCAGUUGAACCUUUUUCUGAACUCAUGUAGCUUAUAUGUAAUGAUAUAUACAUAGGAAACAAUUCACGCCUCUCAGCCAAUCAGCAACGAGUAUUUUCCACAGCUGUGGAACCCAGUCAGUUCUUCAAUUUUCAACCCACAAUCAUCAUAUGACAUCUGAGCUCACUGCUGCAGCAACAUUUACUCAACAUAUGAAACAGCGUAUGUGGAUGUGAUUUCUGCGUCAGGGAUCAUCUGACGUCUGUGUGGUGAUGAGGUUGAGCUCAUCAACAUAAAUGCUGAUUCACGCUUAUUCCGCAAGCAAACUCGGAAUGUUUAUGGAACUUCUUGGCUUUUCUGAAGAUGUAUAUUGAACAGGAAGUGGGUGGGGGUUAAUAAGGAAGUAGCAACACCCCAGUGGUGUGUCCAAGUUCUUAGGUUUGGGGUGGCCAACAGGGGCUGGCACAUGUGCUCAAGAACUUGGACACACAUACUGUAUGUGCAGUAAAUACAACCCCAAUUCCAAAGAAAACCAACAGAACGCAAUAAUUAGCAAAUCUCAUAAACCCGCACGUUAUUCACAAUAGAACGUAGAAAACAUAUCAAAUGUUUAAACUGAGGAAAUGUAAAAAAAUAAAUAAAUAAGCUGAUUUUGAAUUCGAUGCCUGCAACAGGUCUCAAAAAGUUGGGACGGG